rnacentral:rRNA from 1 species
GUCGUCAGCUCGUGUCGUGAGAUGUUGGGUUAAGUCCCGCAACGAGCGCAACCCUCGACCUUAGUUGCCAGCAUUCAGUUGGGCACUCUAAGGUGACUGCCGGCUAAAAGUCGGAGGAAGGUGGGGAUGACGUCAAAUCAUCAUGCCCCUUAUGACCUGGGCUACACACGUGCUACAAUGGGCGGUACAAAGGGUCGCGAACCCGCGAGGGGGAGGCCAAUCCCAAAAAGACCGCUCUCAGUUCGGAUUGCAGGCUGCAACUCGCCUGCAUGAAGCCGGAAUCGCUAGUAAUCGCGGAUCAGCAUGCCGCGGUGAAUACGUUCCCGGGCCGUU